CAUGAGAUUGCUGGGUCAAAUGGUGGUUCCAUUCCAAAUUUUAUGCAGUAUGGAGCUCCAUACUGCUUUCCAGAUUGGUUGCACCAAUUUGCAGUCCCACCAGCAAU
rnacentral:pre_miRNA from 1 species